UGAGGAACAUGACCUUCGGCGGGGGAUAGCCGGCCCAACGGCCGGGUAAUACCGCGUACGACCAUUUGGGGACAUCCCCGAGUGGUGAAAGCAGCAAUGCGCCGAUGGAGUGCCUCGCGGCCUAUCAGCUAGUCGGUGGGGUAACGGCUCACCAAGGCAACGGACGGGUAGCUGGUCUGAGAGGAUGGCCAGCCACAUUGGGACUGAGACACGGCCCAGACCUCCGUACGGGAGGNAG
rnacentral:rRNA from 1 species